rnacentral:miRNA from 1 species
AUCGCGUAUCGCCCGUGUGUGC